UACGGAGGGUGCAAGCGUUAAUCGGAAUUACUGGGCGUAAAGCGCACGCAGGCGGUUUGUUAAGUCAGAUGUGAAAUCCCCGGGCUCAACCUGGGAACUGCAUCUGAUACUGGCAAGCUUGAGUCUCGUAGAGGGGGGUAGAAUUCCAGGUGUAGCGGUGAAAUGCGUAGAUAUCUGGAGGAAUACCGGUGGCGAAGGCGGCCCCCUGGACGAAGACUGACGCUCAGGUGCGAAAGCGUGGGGAGCAAACAGG
rnacentral:rRNA from 1 species